rnacentral:rRNA from 1 species
AUUGAACGCUGGCGGAAUGCUUUACACAUGCAAGUCGAACGGCAGCACGGACUUCGGUCUGGUGGCGAGUGGCGAACGGGUGAGUAAUGUAUCGGAACGUGCCCAGUCGUGGGGGAUAACGUAGUGAAAAUUACGCUAAUACCGCAUACGAUCUAUGGAUGAAAGCGGGGGAUCGCAAGACCUCGCGCGAUUGGAGCGGCCGAUAUCAGAUUAGGUAGUUGGUGGGGUAAAGGACCACCAAGCCAACGAACUGUAGCUGGUCUGAGAGGACGACUAGCCACACUGGAACUGGGACACGGUCCAGACUCAUACGGGAGGCAGCAGUGGGGAAUUUUGGACAAUGGGCGAAAGCCUGAUCCAGCCAUUCCGCGUGCAGGAUGAAGGCCCUCGGGUUGUAAACUGCUUUUGUACAGAACGAAAAGGUUUCUACUAAUACUAGGAGCUCAUGACGGUACUGUAAGAAUAAGCACCGGCUAACUACGUGCCAGCCGCCGCAGUAA